UCUUUCACCUCGGAGGCCAAGUGGUCUUGAGUUAAAUAUUCUUUGCCAUCGGUCGUAAAAAUGACCUCCAAUAACCCUUUUUCAAUAAGCAAACUAACCACUUCAACACAGUUCCGUUCCGAUAGCCUGAAAAAUCAACUAAUUAUUUAGGAACCGUAAAAGACAUCAAAACUUACCUUUGCAGGCUUGUAGAAAGCUGGGCUUUUUGAAAAUCGGCCGCCAAACGUUUGAUUUCAUCCCAAUCUGACGUCAUGAUUAUGUUUAUUUAAAGUAUUUGUAUUGAAGUAAAACUUAAUGGACGUUUAUAAACUAAAUUAUAAAUUUUUUAAAGACUGAAACGACUGUAAAAGAUAUCAAUUCCACAUAUGCAAGAAAAUGUCAACAACACACGCUCAUUUUUAUUUAACCAUUUUCGAAUGAAAAGUAACCAUUUUUUAGUUUUUUCUGCAGAACUGCCAAUAUGGUUAUUUUUCAUAAAUAUUUCAUGUUACAAUUUUAACCAUAUUCCAACUUUUCGGUUAUUAACCAAAAAAAGAAUGAAAAUUUAACCUCAAUCGAAAAAAAAAACAUUGUAUAAUGGCAAAGUUGUACGCGUUGUUCGAAGUUUUUUAUCCGAUAUCGGAUGGAUUUCACCGGAAGGGUUAAAAGUAUUUCAAUUUUAGGAUCAAAUAACAUAGCACCCCCCCUGCUGGAAGGAAACUUAUGGCCAAUCUUCAAUACCAUUCUUCCUCUCAUAGUCAGCUAUCAGGUACUAUGGCCAUCCUGUUAAGGAACAUAAAAAUGCCCUACAUCCUAAAGCGGGCUACCGCUGGCAGGCCAGAGAAGCCAUGAGGAUGACAAAUCAGGAUAACUUCCGGACGAGCAGCUGGAUACCGAAAUGCGAAAAUUGGACGUGAUAGAUUUGUUUGCCAUCACCCUUCUAAAAUUCAACUGAAUGUCGGCAGAGCAGAACCAUUUAAAUAGGACUACCACUCCGGAUACUUUCAAGGAUUCGAUGCCUUGCGGAAAAAGAUGAAUUCUCAUUCCGACAAUUCCAUCGAAUUGGAAGUAAAAUAUCUCCUGGGGCUUUAACCACCUUUAACUGCAUGCUUUAAAGACCGCAACAAAAUCAUGUCUCCCUGCCAAGAAGACUCCGAGGGCAAUCAAACAAGUACUCCCGUUUAGAACAAAAAUUGGACGUCGAAAUUCUAGUGUUAGCACAAUUGUCAUCAAAAGCAUAACAGACCACCACUUCCAGCGCAGUUGUUAGCGUUUCCUGUUUUGGCUUCGCUGCCGAUCAGCGAUACAGUCCUCAUCUUUUUUUGGUACCCCGUACGCUACUUCCAGGAGCCGAAUCAUCAACUCUACAUGCUACUUCCUCCUGCGCCACGUUCACCGAUGAUGGCUUCACCUCCUGUACCAGCUACCGGUGCCAACAUUACCAACAAUCAUCCGGCCCCAAUUAAUUUGAAAGCACCUAAAAAAAAACGUCCUUCAGUCAGCCAAUCCGUUUGAAGGCUUCCACUUGUCUAGGCCCAACAGCAAGCUUCAGGGAAUAGUUUGUAGUCAGCUUAUUCUACAACAGCUGGCACGAAAACAAUGUACCGUCCCAGAAGGACUUUGAUUUCUGUCGCCAAAAAAACUAUU